AAUGUCCUCCAGAUUUCUCCAAUGGACGAACUCCAGAUUUCUACAAUAAUGAGCUCCUCCAUUCAUCUACCGGACUGCUCCAAAUUCUCUCUGGGUUUCACUACCAGUCGAUUUUCUAUAGUGAUCGACUACUCUCUGAAUCUCUUCUGGACUUCUUCCAGCCAUGAUCGACUUUACUCCAAACUUCUUUUGGACUUCGUCAA
rnacentral:lncRNA from 1 species